AAUGCUUUGCUGAAGCUGGUAAAAUGGAACCAAAUCAGCUGUUGGAUGGAUUUGGUCCCCUUCAACCAGCUGUAGCUGUGCAUUGAU
rnacentral:pre_miRNA from 1 species